AGUUGAUUUUACGCAAAGAAUCAAUACAAAAGUGGACGGUCCUGGAUGACAACGACUGCGAAAUAUGUGUGGUUAAUGGGCAAUUGGAAAAAGAAAAUCCUUCCUUUUGCCGAGUAUCAGAAAUAAAUCAUUCUGACUGCGCAACAAAAAUCAAAAUAUGUUGUGCCUGCAUGAGGAAUUCGUACAUAAAUCCAGUCAAGUGUCAGGAGUGCGAUAAAGAGAUCAAAUCUAUCAUAGGAGAUGGAUGGGGCGCAAUUUUAAUAGCUGGAUUCGACAAAGACAACAAUUCGUUCCGAAAUGAUGUGAAUAUGUUUGCACAUGCUAUAUCAUCGAAAGUUCUACCAUCGAUGUGUGUAAGCACUGUGAUCACAAUUGAUUCGGCAACGCAAACAACAAAACCUGUGUCAGUAGGGAUUGAUGAUGCAUUUAAGACGAUUAUGAUACAGAACGUUCACACGUUGGUGUUUCUCUACUCAGGACACCACGACAAAAAACACGGAUUCAAAGUUGGCACCAAAGAAUUUGUCAGCAUGCAACACAUUAACAAAAAAAUACAAGAAUGUACACACGUUAAAAA